CAAACCCGCUCAUACAUAUUAUAUGGUAUUGAUGGAAGUGGACCGUGGUUACUAAUAAUGUAUCUGGAUCACCCCAUUGAAAUGUAUAGGCAGGACAGUAAACCUCUGCAAUGGACUUAGUAACUGUUGUAAAAACAUAGACCAGUUCUUUGCCUGGUUCCAGCCUGGCCUCCAUGGACCUCUAUCCAAGAUAAACUCUG
rnacentral:misc_RNA from 1 species